rnacentral:rRNA from 1 species
GGACCCGACCGCUAUCGGGGUGGCGCUAAGCCAUGGGAGUCGCACGCCCCGCCGCUGCGGGGAGUGGCGAACGGCUGAGUAACACGUGGCUAACCUACCCUCGGGAGGGGGAUAACUCCGGGAAACUGGAGCUAAUCCCCCAUAGGCGGGGAGGCCUGGAAUGGUUCUCCGCCGAAAGGGUUCGCCGGGGGCUAUCGCCGGCGAGCCGCCCGAGGAUGGGGCUGCGCCCUAUCAGGUAGUUGGCGGGGUAAUGGCCCGCCAAGCCUAUAACGGGUAGGGGCCGUGAGAGCGGGAGCCCCCAGAUGGGCACUGAGACAAGGGCCCAGGCCCUACGGGGCGCACCAGGCGGGAAACCUCCGCACUGCGGGCAACCGUGACGGGGUCACCCCGAGUGCCCUCCUCUGGGAGGGCUUUUCCCCGCUGUAGGAAGGCGGGGGUAAUAAGCGGGGGGCAAGUCUGGUGUCAGCCGCCGCGGUAAUACCAGCCCCGCGAGUGGUCGGGACGGUUAUUGGGCCUAAAGCGCCCGUAGCCGGCCCGGUAAGUUCCCGCCGAAAUCCCCGGGCUCAACCCGGGGGCCUGCGGGAAUACUGCCGGGCUAGGGGCGGGAGAGGCCGGGGGUACUCCCGGGGGUAGGGGCGAAAUCCUAUAAUCCCGGGAGGACCACCAGUGGCGAAGGCGCCCGGCUGGAACGCGCCCGACGGUGAGGGGCGAAAGCCGGGGGAGCGAACCGGAUUAGAUACCCGGGUAGUCCCGGCUGUAAACGAUGCGGGCUAGUGUUGGGAGGGCUUAGAGCCCUCCCAGUGCCGCAGGAAGCCGUAGCCCGCCGC